rnacentral:rRNA from 1 species
UACGUAGGGGGCGAGCGUUGUCCGGAAUCAUUGGGCGUAAAGCGCGUGUAGGCGGCCCGGCAAGUCCGAUGUGAAAGUCCAGGGCUCAACCCUGGGAUGCCGGUGGAUACUGUCGGGCUCGAGUCCGGAAGAGGCGAGUGGAAUUCCUGGUGUAGCGGUGAAAUGCGCAGGUAUCAGGAGGAACACCAAUGGCGAAGGCAGCUCGCUGGGACGUGACUGACGCUGAGGCGCGAAAGCGUGGGGAGCAAACAGG